rnacentral:lncRNA from 1 species
CAAACUUUUGACUGGUACUGUAUAUAUAAUUUAGAAGUUCAAAAAUGGAUGUAGCAACUACAGAGUUCCCCUUUAAGUCUAUCAAAAUUGUGCAAGUUUGAGCAUGUGUCCAUUAGGCCUUUGAGCAAUAAAAGCCCCACUUUUAUUCCAUAGGCUUGGAACCGCACUGUGCAGCUUUUGCAAGAGCACAUUUUUCACUGGCUGUCCACUGGUUUCAAAAACAUUGAUUGAUAGGCAGCUUAAACUUCUUGAAUUCAACCAUUAUUGGGAUCAAAUACACAUUUAGAUUUGUGAACAGCCAUCCAGAACAACCACAAUCCGUAAGGCGCAAAGCCACAUCACUCGCACAAAAAGAAUUCCACGGAAACCAACAACCACAGAGAUGCUCUGGCCCAACAGAAUACUAACAUCACCAUGCCAACCACAGCUGAUUUGGAGUAAGUGUAGAAGUUGAAGGCACUGCAGGUAAUACUUUACCUCUCUUAGUGUUAUAAUACCAUUUGUUGUGUGAAAAAGUGUGUGUGUGUGUGAGAGAGAGGGAGCGAGAGAGUCUGUGUAUAACAAGUUUCUCACAAUUAACUGAAGUGAUUUUGAAUGAUCUUUCACUGCAGGUACUUGCCUGAACUUCUGGGAGGAGAGAAGUACAUUUCCUGCUCUGUGGUGUUGCCUGAUGUCUGCCAUCUCCUUCAGGUGAUGGAGAGCUCCGAUGAUGACCCUGUCUAAAUGAAAUGUUUGGCGAUCGACUAGGAAUGCCUUGGAGAUCGACCAGUCAAUCACGAUCAACUAGGAAUGCCUUGGAGAUCGACCAGUCAAUCACGAUCAACCGGUUGGUGAACACUGCUCUUGAAAGUUGAGUGAAGUUCAAUCUCUGUUGGCUGAUAUUUCUGCGUCUCGGGGCUACUGUACGCAUGUUACUUGUCUCCACAUAAACCUGAUUAAACAUGUUUACACUGAAUCAAUGACUCCUACUCUUCUGAAAACUGCUACUCUUAACUGAAAAUGGACAUGAUGUGUCUGUA